rnacentral:rRNA from 1 species
CUACGGAGGGCAGCAGUGAGGAAUAUUGCACAAUGGGGGGAACCCUGAUGCAGCAACGCCGCGUGGAGGAUGACGCAUUUCGGUGUGUAAACUCCUUUUAUAUGUCAAGAAAAUGACGGUAGCAUAUGAAUAAGCACCGGCUAACUCCGUGCCGAGCAGCCGCGGUAAUACGGAGGGUGCAAGCGUUACUCGGAAUCACUGGGCGUAAAGGACGCGUAGGCGGGUUGGAAAGUCAGGUGUGAAAUCCUACAGCUUAACUGUAGAACUGCACUUGAAACUUCUAAUCUAGAGUAUGGGAGGGGGAGAUGGAAUUAGUGGUGUAGGGGUAAAAUCCGUAGAUAUCACUAGGAAUACCUAAAGCGAAGGCGAUCUCCUGGAACAUUACUGACGCUAAGGCGUGAAAGCGUGGGGAGCAAACAGGAUUAGAUACCCCAGUAGUC